rnacentral:rRNA from 1 species
UCACUCGGACGGGGUUGAUAACGCGUGAGAAUCUGGCUCUAGGUUCGGGACAACCACUGGAAACGGUGGCUAAUACCGGGUAUGCCGAGAGGUGAAAGGUUAACUGCCUGGAGAUGAGCUCGCGUCUGAUUAGCUAGUUGGUGGUGUAAGGGACUACCAAGGCGACGAUCAGUAGCUGGUCUGAGAGGAUGAUCAGCCACACUGGAACUGAGACACGGUCCAGACUCCUACGGGAGGCAGCAGUGGGGAAUUUUCCGCAAUGGGCGAAAGCCUGACGGAGCAAUACCGCGUGAGGGAGGAAGGCUCUUGGGUUGUAAACCUCUUUUCUCAGGGAAUAAGCAAGUGAAGGUACCUGAGGAAUCAGCAUCGGCUAACUCCGUGCCAGCAGCCGCGGUAAUACGGAGGAUGCAAGCGUUAUCCGGAAUGAUUGGGCGUAAAGCGUCCGUAGGUGGCUGUGUGUGUCUAUUGUUAAAGAGUUUGGCUCAACCAAAUAAGGGCGGUAGAAACUACACAGCUAGAGUGCGUUCGGGGCAGAGGGAAUUCCUGGUGUAGCGGUGAAAUGCGUAGAGAUCAGGAAGAACACCGGUGGCGAAAGCGCUCUGCUAGGCCGCAACUGACACUGAGGGACGAAAGCUAGGGGAGCGAAUGGGAUUAGAUACCCC